ACGCACGUCACUGCCUCUCUCCUUCUCCCUUUUCUUUUCCUUUUCUUCCUCUUUCUCUCAUUCUCCUCUCUGUUUACCCGCACAUCACAACAGCCCCUCCCCAUUUCUCUCUUUCCCUUGUUCACACAUGUUGAGGGAGAGUAGACCGAGACUGAGAGACCGAGAGAUUGAGAGAGAUCCGGGAGCUGAAACCCGCGACCCGUGAGCCCAGAAAACCCGAGACUUGCGACCCGGUGACCUGUGAGGCCGGUAGAACCCGAUCGGUGUGCUGAGUCAUCGCCGGUGUCCUGAGGAGCGAUGAUGGCCGAACCAGGGGCAGAUUCCGGUCAACCCAGGUCCGAUUUCCAGUGGGUUGGCGUCUGGUCGUUUAGUGGUGCGUUUUCCGGCGGUUGGGAGGUGCGAAUUCCGGUGAUUUUCCGAUAGUUUUUCUAAGGAAAUCCUCAAGGAUCAUGUUUGGAUUGGAGACUUUAAUUGGUUCUCCAAUGUAGAGUCCAAGUGACUAGAGUCCAAGGAGUGUUCGGGUUGGAGUCCAAUGCAGCCAAGAUGAUGUUUCUUUGGUUGCAGGUACUUCGGUAUAAUCGAUGGGUCGAUAGCAGUGUGCUUGGGAUAUUAUGACUGAAGCUCACCGCAACGGUUGUAAUUGUCGGACCACGGGUUGUCGACUGUUUUAUAGGUUUGGUAUAGCUUGUGACGUUUGUGUCACAUAUUCUUUGUAAAGCUAUAGUUGUUUUGUAAAUAUUGUGUUAAAAAGACUCAUACAGAUAAAUGUUAAAUGGCUCUUUGUUGUAAUUAAUUUGUAAUAGAUGUAUAAGUUGUAAUUUCCGCUGCAUA